UUUUCGGCCCAGUAGCGGCGGCUCAGCUGCUGCCAUGGAGCCAGCCGGGCUAGAGCGGCUCCUACGGGAGCUGCUGCUACCGGACACCGAGCGCAUCCGUCGGGUACGGAGCAGGCGUAACCCGGCCAGGGCGAGCGGGAGGUUGCGGGAAAGGCCCGACUCUCACCCCUAGCUUCCCCCCAGGCCACGGAACAGCUCCAGAUCGUUCUUCGGGCCCCCGCCGCUUUGCCGGCUCUCUGCGACCUGCUAGCCUCGGCGGCCGACCCCCAGAUCCGCCAGUUUGCGGCCGUGCUGACCCGCAGACGACUGAACACCCGCUGGCGACGGCUGGCGGCGGAGCAACGGGAGAGGUGGGCUGGGCCUGGGGUGGGGCGGGGCCAGGCGGAGACUUUUCUUGGGCAGGCUGGGUACCAAACACCUGCCACCUGUGUUCCAGCCUCAAGUCCCUGAUCCUGACGGCCCUGCAGAGAGAAACAGAGCACUGUGUGAGCCUCAGCCUGGCCCAGCUCUCAGCCACCAUUUUUCGAAAGGAAGGCCUGGAGGCCUGGCCACAGCUUUUGCAGCUGCUUCAGCACAGUACCCACAGCCCCCACAGCCCAGAGAGAGAGAUGGGGCUUUUGCUGCUAAGUGUGGUG
rnacentral:sRNA from 1 species